rnacentral:tRNA from 1 species
UCCCUCAUAGCUCAGUCGGUAAAGAAUCUGCCUGCAAUGCAGGAGACCCAGGUUCGAUUCCUGGGUCGGGAA